GUGGGGAAUAUUGCACAAUGGGGGAAACCCUGAUGCAGCAACGCCGCGUGAAGGAAGACGGUUUUCGGAUUGUAAACUUCUAUCAAUAGGGACGAAGAAAGUGACUGUACCUAAAUAAGAAGCCCCGGCUAACUACGUGCCAGCAGCCGCGGUAAUACGUAGGGGGCAAGCGUUAUCCGGAAUUACUGGGUGUAAAGGGUGAGUAGGCGGCAUGGCAAGUAAGAUGUGAAAGCCCGAGGCUUAACCUCGGGAUUGCAUUUUAAACUGCUAAGCUAGAGUACAGGAGAGGAAAGCGGAAUUCCUAGUGUAGCGGUGAAAUGCGUAGAUAUUAGGAAGAACACCAGUGGCGAAGGCGGCUUUCUGGACUGGAAACUGACGCUGAGGCACGAAAGCGUGGGGAGCGAACAGGAUUAGAAACCCCAGUAGUCC
rnacentral:rRNA from 1 species